GUUUAUGGCCAUAUCACAUUGAAAACACCAGUUCUCGUCUGAUCACCAAAGUUAAGCAAUGUCGAGCCUAGUUAGUACUUAGAUGGUUGACCGCUUGGCAAACCUGGGUGCUUGAAGUC
rnacentral:rRNA from 1 species